AUUGAACGCUGGCGGCAGGCUUAACACAUGCAAGUCGAACGAUGAUUAUCUAGCUUGCUAGAUAUGAUUAGUGGCGGACGGGUGAGUAACGUUUAGGAAUCUGCCUUUUAGUGGGGGAUAGCUCGGGGAAACUCGAAUUAAUACCGCAUACGUCCUACGGGAGAAAGGUGGCGCAAGCUAUCGCUAAAAGAUGAGCCUAAAUCAGAUUAGCUAGUUGGUGGGGUAAAGGCCCACCAAGGCGACGAUCUGUAACUGGUCUGAGAGGAUGAUCAGUCACACCGGAACUGAGUCACGGUCCGGACUCCUACGGGAGGCAGCAGUGGGGAAUAUUGGACAAUGGGGGCAACCCUGAUCCAGCCAUGCCGCGUGUGUGAAGAAGGCCUUUUGGUUGUAAAGCACUUUAAGCAGGGAGGAAGAGCAGCUAGUGAUAACCUAGCUGUGGUGACGUUACCUGCAGAAUAAGCACCGGCCAACUCUGUGCCAGCCGCCGCAGUAA
rnacentral:rRNA from 1 species